CAAUAGCGUAUAUUAAAGUUGUUGCGGUUAAAAAGCUCGUAGUUGGAUUUCUGCUGAGAACGACCGGUCCGCCCUUUGGGUGUGUAUCUGGCUCUUUCUUGGCAUCUUCUUGGUGAACGUUGCUGCACUUGACUGUGUGGAGCGCUACCCAGGACUUUUACUUUGAGGAAAUUAGAGUGUUUCAAGCAGGCAUACGCCUUGAAUACAUUAGCAUGGAAUAAUAAGAUAGGACCUUGGUACUAUUUUGUUGGUUUGCGCACCGAGGUAAUGAUUAAUAGGGACAGUUGGGGGUAUUCGUAUUGCAUUGUCAGAGGUGAAAUUCUUGGAUUUUUGCAAGACGAACGACUGCGAAAGCAUUUACCAAGGAUGUUUUCAUUAA
rnacentral:rRNA from 1 species